CCUACGGGAGGCAGCAGUGGGGAAUAUUGCGCAAUGGGCGAAAGCCUGACGCAGCGACGCCGCGUGAGGGAUGAAGGUCUUCGGAUCGUAAACCUCUGUCAGCAGGGAAGAACGGUCACUGUGCUAAUCAGCAGUGAAUUGACGGUACCUGCAAAGGAAGCACCGGCUAACUCCGUGCCAGCAGCCGCGGUAAUACGGAGGGUGCGAGCGUUAAUCGGAAUUACUGGGCGUAAAGGGCGCGUAGGCGGUAUGUCAAGUCAAGGGUGAAAUCCCCGGGCUCAACGGGGGAACUGCCUUUGAAACUGGCAAACUUGAGUGUGUGAGAGGAUAGUGGAAUUCCAGGUGUAGGAGUGAAAUCCGUAGAUAUCUGGAGGAACAUCAGUGGCGAAGGCGACUAUCUGGCACAUAACUGACGCUGAGGAGCGAAAGCGUGGGUAGCAAACAGGAUUAGAUACCCGGGUAGUC
rnacentral:rRNA from 1 species